rnacentral:rRNA from 1 species
ACGAACGCUGGCGGCGUGCUUAACACAUGCAAGUCGAACGGUGAAGCCCUUUCGGGGUGGAUCAGUGGCGAACGGGUGAGUAACACGUGAGCAACCUGCCCCUGACUCUGGGAUAACAGUUGGAAACAGCUGCUAAUACCGGAUACGAGACGGAGAGGCAUCUCUACCGUCUGGAAAGUUUUUCGGUCUGGGAUGGACUCGCGGCCUAUCAGCUUGUUGGUGAGGUAAUGGCUCACCAAGGCGACGACGGGUAGCCGGCCUGAGAGGGCGACCGGCCACACUGGGACUGAGACACGGCCCAGACUCCUACGGGAGGCAGCAGUGGGGAAUAUUGCACAAUGGGCGAAAGCCUGAUGCAGCGACGCCGCGUGAGGGAUGACGGCCUUCGGGUUGUAAACCUCUUUCAGUAGGGAAGAAGCGAAAGUGACGGUACCUACAAAAGAAGCACCGGCUAACUACGUGCCAGCAGCCGCGGUAAUACGUAGGGUGUGAGCGUUGUCCGGAAUUAUUGGGCGUAAAGAGCUUGUAGGCGGUUUGUCGCGUCUGCUGUGAAAAUCCGGGGCUCAACCCCGGACUUGCAGUGGGUACGGGCAGACUAGAGUAUGGUAGGGGAGACUGGAAUUCCUGGUGUAGCGGUGGAAUGCGCAGAUAUCAGGAGGAACACCGAUGGCGAAGGCAGGUCUCUGGGCCAUAACUGACGCUGAGAAGCGAAAGCAUGGGGAGCAAACAGGAUUAGAUACCCUGGUAGUCCAUGCCGUAAACGUUGGGCGCUAGGUGUGGGACUCAUUCCAC